rnacentral:lncRNA from 1 species
CCUAUUGAACACCUCGCCCAGCCUAGAGCUCACAUUCUCCCCCUGCUCCCGAUGGCGCUCCUGGAAGCUCUGCAACUAUGCUCCACUUCAAAUGGGAAGAAGAUGGACAAUGUCUAUACGCCAUCUUCAGUUGGUAACGCUGUGGCAGUUAGCAUAACCAGUGCUAGGCAAGAUUCAACCGCACUGGCUGCGGUAUGCGUGGCCAACCGGAGUGAGGACAAAUCCCAUUCCGUCUGAAGACUGUCUCCUGCCAGAGAUCAAAUGCAGCUCGCACAUACAUGACACCAAGCAGAAGCAAGUACUAUUCCAUUACAAAUGAAGCAGAGAGAGCCAGAAUUAUUUGGUCAGCUUGGUAUUCAAAAUGGUUGAGAUUCUGACCUUCCCACUCCUUCCUUAAUUAUCUUGAUAAUUUUGGCAAGAGGAGGUUUGUGGGGUGGAGAGGGAUAAUUCUGAAAGAAUUAAAUAAUUAUAGCAGUCAGGAAAUCCAUCCAGGGUUUUAUAAAUUCCUGCAUAAUAGUUCAAAAUCUCUUGAUUUUUCAUCGUGUAUAAGCUAAAUUCAUUAGCACAUACCUUAGAUCAUCUGUUAGAUGCCUAGCAGUGUAAAAACACAGGGCCUGUGAAGUGUUUUUUUUGGUUUUGUUUUGUUUUUAAUCUUGACUUUUACAGAAUAAAAACUACCACCACCAACAACAACAAGAGAACAGACAUGUUGCAUUUAAAAUUGUACCUAUUUCUUUCUGGCUCUCAGCUUUUCUUUUAAUGCCGCAGUAAUACCACUGUUCAUUUCCUGUUCAACUUCAAACCUACCUUUUGAUUCUUCCAAUGUCCCUUAGGCUAAUGUUUUCACAAAGAAUGAAAUGAACAGACAGAAACAAUUAAGUGAGCAGAUACAGUGAAAAGGAACACCGGCUGCCGCUUUCACACGACUGGAAGUGUAGGAAUGAAUUCUGCUUGGAAUCUGAUCCUCCAGCCACAGGGCUUUUGCUGCUCACAUCAUUUUUCUUCUGCAAACCCCCCUCAGCCCCCAGUGUACUGCACGCCACUUUUCCUUUAUGGAAGGAAAAGAUCGAGGCACACAAAGAAAGGCCCAAAUACUCACAGGCACGGGAAAUAUUUUCUCUGCCUGUUACUAGGACCGGAUAAGCUCCAAGAAAGAAAAUCCACCUAGAUAUUUUAAACUGGGGAAUGUCUCCCCAAAGCCUGGUAAAUGUUCACAUGUGUCUUCAUGAAAUUUGUAAUAUGGAUUGUUUACACAGCCCUGAUUGAGGGCAUGAGCACCAUUAAAAAGGAUCAAGUCGGUUUAGGGAUGGAAAAUUGUAGAAACCAGAGCUGUUAUCCACAAGGAGAAGUGUAGGUUUUGGUUUCUUUGAAACAAUAAUACGCAGGACUUGAUAUUAAAAGGUAUUUCAACAGCCAAGAGUAAGCUGUUGGUGACCCUUCGAAGUUCUAUAAGGAAUCAACAAGGUGUAGCACACUAAGAGAUUUUCCAUGGCGGGAGCUCGGCACUCCUGGAGUGGGGUUUACUUUGUUCAGGCGUUGUGUUGGUAUUUGAGGAGACUGGCUACAACUCCACAAGGCGGUUGCUGAGGAUGGAGCCUCUGUGUAUCUCAGAAGACUGCAGUUCUUACUGCUAGGAGACUGCAUGGCUAGUUCCCUCUGAGUUAAGCUUCUAUUUUUGAAGCCCAGAUGCAAUAAGGAGGUGCCUAUGAUAGACACAGAAUACAAACCCCACACAGCUUAAAGCUGGCAGAUGUCUUCUGCAAAACGAUGCCACACCUUGACCCUGAAUGAGGAAGAAGGCAGGGAUCCAUAGGAUUAUCCGGAGUGGAAAACAUGGCUUCCACUUCUAAUUUGUUUUUUAAAAACGGAAUCAUACCUAUGAAUUUCUUAAUAAAAUAUCUUUCUUGUAAAA